GACAGAGGGGGCAAGCGUUGCUCGGAAUUACUGGGCGUAAAGGGCGCGUAGGCGGUCGUGACAAGUCACUUGUGAAAUCUCCGGGCUUAACUCGGAACGGUCAAGUGAUACUGUCGGACUAGAGUACAGAAGGGGCAACUGGAAUUCUCGGUGUAGCGGUGAAAUUCGUAGAUAUCGGGAGGAACACCAGUGGCGAAGGCGGCGAUCUGGGAAGAUACUGACGCUGAGGUGCGAAAGCGUGGGGAGCAAACAGG
rnacentral:rRNA from 1 species